UACGGGGGUGGCGAGCGUUACUCGGAUUUACUGGGUGUAAAGGGCAGGUAGGCGGCCGAGCAAGUUGUGGGUGAAAGCCCCAGACUCAAUCUGGGAACUGCCUUCAAAACUACUCGGCUUGAAGACUGUAGAGGAGAGCGGAAUUCCCGGUGUAAGGGUGAAAUCUGUAGAUAUCGGGAGGAACACCAGUGGCGAAAGCGGCUCUCUGGCCAGUCCUUGACGCUGAGCUGCGAAAGCUAGGGGAG
rnacentral:rRNA from 1 species